UUUACAAAGGGUCUGUAAUCUGGCAAAAUAUCUAAUCGCGUAGGUCUGAAUAUAUAUCAGACCCAUUCUUAAAAUAAAGGAUGUCCAAGCGUG
rnacentral:sRNA from 2 species